rnacentral:rRNA from 1 species
UAAUACGAAUGGUCCAAGCGUUGUUCGGAAUCACUGGGCUUAAAGCGCACGUAGGCGGAACGUUAAGUGUCUUGUGAAAUCCCUACGGCUUAACCGAGGAAUUGCAGGGCAUACUGGCGUUCUUGAGGCAAGUAGGGGUGCAUGGAACUCUAGGUGGAGCGGUGAAAUGCGUAGAUAUCUAGAGGAACGCCUGUGGUGAAAACGGUGCACUGGCCUUGAUCUGACGCUGAGGUGCGAAAGCGUGGGUAGCGAAGAGGAUUAGAUACCCUUGUAGUCCACGCCGUAAACGAUGCCUACUAGGUCUCGGGAGUACUGACGCUUUCGGGGCCGUAGCAAAAGUCUUAAGUAGGCCGCCUGGGGAGUACGGUCGCAAGGCUA